rfam:Saccharothrix sp. NRRL B-16348 P442contig74.1, whole genome shotgun sequence.
CCGGCUCCGGUUCACCUCGAAGAAUCCCCAACGAGGACCCGGCGGCC